GACAGCCAGGAUGUUGGCUUAGAAGCAGCCAUCAUUUAAAGAAAGCGUAAUAGCUCACUGGUCGAGUCGGCCCGCGCGGAAGAUGUAACGGGGCUAAACCAUGCACCGAAGCUGCGGCAGCGACACAAAGUGUUGUUGGGUAGGGGAGCGUUCUGUAAGCCUGCGAAGGUGUACUGUGAGGUAUGCUGGAGGUAUCAGAAGUGCGAAUGCUGACAUAAGUAACGAUAAUGCGGGUGAAAAACCCGCACGCCGGAA
rnacentral:rRNA from 1 species